rnacentral:rRNA from 1 species
AGCAGUGGGGAAUUUUGGACAAUGGGCGCAAGCCUGAUCCAGCAAUGCCGCGUGAGUGAAGAAGGCCUUCGGGUUGUAAAGCUCUUUUGUCAGGGAAGAAACGGUGAGAGCUAAUAUCUCUUGCUAAUGACGGUACCUGAAGAAUAAGCACCGGCUAACUACGUGCCAGCAGCCGCGGUAAUACGUAGGGUGCAAGCGUUAAUCGGAAUUACUGGGCGUAAAGCGUGCGCAGGCGGUUUUGUAAGUUUGUCGUGAAAGCCCCGGGCUCAACCUGGGAAUUGCGAUGAAGACUGCAAGGCUUGAAUCUGGCAGAGGGGGGUAGAAUUCCACGUGUAGCAGUGAAAUGCGUAGAGAUGUGGAGGAACACCGAUGGCGAAGCAGCCCCCUGGGUCAAGAUUGACGCUCAUG